UACGAAGGGGGCUAGCGUUGCUCGGAAUGACUGGGCGUAAAGGGCGCGUAGGCGGUUUGGUUCGUUAGGCGUGAAAUUCCUGGGCUCAACCUGGGGACUGCGUUUAAUACAGCCAGACUUGAGUGUGGAAGAGGGUCGUGGAAUUCCCAAUGUAGAGGUGAAAUUCGUAGAUAUUGGGAAGAACACCGGUGGCGAAGGCGGCGACCUGGUCCAUUACUGACGCUGAGGCGCGAAAGCGUGGGGAGCAAACAGG
rnacentral:rRNA from 1 species